rnacentral:rRNA from 1 species
GACGAACGCUGGCGGCGUGCCUAACACAUGCAAGUCGAACGAAGUAUAGUAAUAUACUUAGUGGCGGACGGGUGAGUAACGCGUGAACAAUCUGCCCUGUACAAAGGAAUAGCCUCGGGAAACCGGGAUUAAAACCAUAUGACACUUUAGUACCGCAUGGUAUAGAAGUCAAAUUGAUUUAGAGGUAUGGGAUGAGUUCGCGUCUGAUUAGCUAGUUGGUAAGGUAACGGCUUACCAAGGCGACGAUCAGUAGCCGGCCUGAGAGGGUGAACGGCCACACUGGAACUGAGACACGGUCCAGACUCCUACGGGAGGCAGCAGUGGGGAAUAUUGCACAAUGGAGGAAACUCUGAUGCAGCGACGCCGCGUGAGUGAAGAAGGUCUUCGGAUCGUAAAACUCUGUCCUUGGUGAAGAAAAGACGGUAGCCAAGGAGGAAGCCCCGGCUAACUACGUG